GACGGAGGAUGCAAGCGUUAUCCGGAAUUAUUGGGCGUAAAGCGUCCGCAGGUGGCUGUUCAAGUCUGCUGUCAAAGCGCAGAGCUUAACUCUGUACAGGCGGUGGAAACUGAAGAGCUAGAGUAUGGUAGGGGUAGAGGGAAUUCCCGGUGUAGCGGUGAAAUGCGUAGAUAUUGGGAAGAACACCGGUGGCGAAAGCGCGCGACUGGACCUGAACUGACACUGAGGGACGAAAGCUAGGGGAGCGAAAGGG
rnacentral:rRNA from 1 species